UGUAUCUAGAAUAAAAGUUAAAAGAAAUCUUAAAAAAAGAGUUUUCCUAAUCAGAAACUUUAUUUCUUCUCCCAUGCUCCUGUGACUCCAACCUAUUUUGAGGGCCUCCAUAUUCCCAUUUCUUUGUCGUCAUCUUACACAUGCAGAGGACCCAUUGAAAGUCUCCAGGAUCUAAAGAAUGACUGAGCCAUGUAAUGGGAAAAGCUACUGUCUUUCUGAAGUGCAGAACUCUCAACUGAUUUUCGGUGGACAAUUGUUUUGUGAUAAACCACAACUUUUUGUGAUAAAUCAUAAAGGAGCUUACAGGCACAUACAAACACAUCUAUCAAGAAUAUCAAGAAUCCCCGGUUGACUACUCAGUCCUACUGAACAGCUAUUAUACUAAACCUAUUGUGUUUUUUAAAAAUCAAAUUAAGUAGCUUUAGAGAGCUUUGCUUCAUGCAGUUUGAACAUGACGCUGAAGACAAAAGUGAGUGUCUUUGAAAUUGCCUGAAUGCAGACCUAAGAAAGAGAAAAAAAAAUCUUUCUACAUUUUUCCUUCAGAUUACCAUCAUGUUUGAAAGAUAACAAAGAGCAGAUAUCAGAAAAGAAUAUAUGAAGGUGCCCUUUAUGAAAUAUUCCUUUAAUAAUUGUAAUUAAGUGUUCAGGUUUAAUUUCAUAUUAUCAAUCGUACGUUAGAUUUGCAAACCACAUUUUCAGAUUUUGUGAAUCUAGAUUUCUUCACAUUAACAAUAAAAAAUAUAUGGAAUUAUGAAAUGAUAAGGACCUAAGGACUUUAUAUUUUCAAUCAUUUAUUUUAUAGAUGAAUACCUAUAAAAUAGGUGAAGCUACCAAGCCAGUUAAUGAUAGAUCCAGAACAAAUUAGAGACCACCUCUUCUAACUUCCAAAAAUCUACUUUCCUUUUUUUAGGUGAAGUGUCGCUUUGUCAGCCAGGCUGGAGUGCAGUGUGCGAUCUUGGCUUACUGCAAACUCUGCCUCCCAAGUUCAAGCCUCAGCCUCCUCAGUGCUAGGAUGACAGGUGUGUGCCACCACACCCAGCUAAUUUUUGUAUUUUUAAUAGAGAUGGGGUUUCACCACUUUGCCCAGGUUGGUCUGGAACUCCUGAGCUCAAAGCAAUCUGUCUGCUUCGGCCUCCCAAAAUGAUGGGAUUUCAGGCAUAAGCCACACACCUGACCAACUUUAUUAUAUCUUAACAUUAAGUUUAUUAGAUUUAUUUGAUUAUGAUGCUUCUUUGAUUUCUUUUUAAUUUUAUUCAUUGCAAAAAUCAUUUCCUGGGAACCAAACCCAGUCCCUUUAAGAAAACAACCUCAUAGAAACUGUUAAAUAUAACUGAGUUAUUUUCUGUUAUUUCAUCUGGUGAGACAAUAGAAACAUUCCUAGAAUAAGGGACUUAAGGUUUUUCUACAACCAACAUGUGAUGGGUUUUUUUGCAACCUACAUGCAAUGUGUUAUUAGUAGAUGUCAUCAGAGUCAUAAUUAGUAUAUGUUUUCAUAAAUAAUACAUUUUGACAACAAAACACUACAAUUCAUACUUUGGAUGUCGUUGAAAUGAAAAGGACUAGGUGUAAUUUAAAAAAGAUUUUUAAAUUUCCAAAGUUGUUUGCUCCACAAAAUUUUCACACUUUUUGGCAUCAUAUUAUUCGCCUUCAAUGAGGAAAGACUAGACUUUGAGGAACAGAUAUAACGUUAAAUGAAAUAAACAAGUCACAGAAAGACACUUACCUCACUUAUAUGUGGAAUCUCAAAAAGGCAAGAACUCAUAGAAGCAGAGGGUAGAAUGGUGGUCACUAGUGCUGGAGAACGCAGGCCCGGACUGGGGAGAUGUCACUGAAAGGGUACAAAUUGCAGUUAAGAGAAAUAAGUUCAAGAGAUUUAUUGUGACUAUAGUCAACAUGGUGACUAUAGUUAAUAACAACAUAUCGUAUACUUGAAAAUUGCUGUAAGAGUAGAUUUUGAGUGUUCUGACCACAAAAAUAAUAUGUGAAGUAGUUUAUAUGUUAUGUAGUUGAUUUAGCCAUUCUGCAAUGUAUACAUAUAUCAAGGCGUCACGUUGUACACCAUACAUAUGUAUAAUUUCUCUUCGUUAAUUAAUUUUUUAAAAGCUAUUUUGAUGAAAUUUUUAAUUUUCUGCUAAAAAACAACCCUUAAAUCUCAC
ensembl:lncRNA